UUCUCUAUGGCCAAAUGGCUAAGGCGUCCGACUGUUACUCCCAGUAGCAUACAUCGGAAGAUUCCAAGUUCGACCCUUGGUAGGGAAG